GAUGAACGCUGGCGGUAUGCUUAACACAUGCAAGUCGAACGGACUCUUCGGAGUUAGUGGCGGACGGGUGAGUAACGCGUGAGAAUCUGGCUUUGGGUUCGGGACAACCACUGGAAACGGUGGCUAAUACCGGAUGUGCCGAGAGGUAAAAGAGAAAUUGCCUGAAGAUGAGCUCGCGUCUGAUUAGCUAGUUGGUGAGGUAAAGGCUUACCAAGGCAGCGAUCAGUAGCUGGUCUGAGAGGAUGACCAACCACACUGGGACUGAGACACGGCCCAGACUCCUACGGGAGGCAGCAGUGGGGAAUUUUCCGCAAUGGGCGAAAGCCUGACGGAGCAGUACCGCGUGAGGGAAGAAGGCUCUUGGGUUGUAAACCUCUUUUCUUAGGUAAGAACAAAAUGACGGUACCUAAGGAAUCAGCAUCGGCUAACUCCGUG
rnacentral:rRNA from 1 species